rnacentral:rRNA from 1 species
UGGACGGACCUCUGGUAUGCCGGUUGUCGCGCCAGCGGCAUGGCCGGUUGGCUACGUUCGGGAGGGAUAACCGCUGAAAGCAUCUAAGCGGGAAGCCUGCUCCAAGAUUAGGAUUCCUUGGCACUUCGGUGCCUGUAGCCCGCAUGUGGAACACGUGUUCGAUAGGCCGGAGGUGGAAGCCUUGCGAGGGGUGGAGCCGACCGGUACUAACGGGCGAUCGCGGCA